UCUAUAUAUCUAACGAAGAUUUCAAAAAGGUCUCAAUAAGCGAAGAGUAUUCGUGAUUCAGGUAAAGAAAAAGUACUUAGUAAAUGCAUUUUGUCACACACAUCAUUGAGCAUAUAGCACGGCAAGGAAGACGUACUUAUUAACUAAACUUAUGUAUUAAUACGGUUUGGUGAUUUAUGAAUAAUGAGGAUGAUUAUCAUGAGAGUUAGCGAAUUUAAGAUUUUGCACUUUAUUAAGUUUCCUUCGUGCUAUACGCUCAAUGCUCCACGUGUAGCAUUUGCGGUAAACAGCUCGGAUAUUCCUAUAAUAUAAUAUAAUUAAAUAUAAUACUCCGUCGCUGGCUUUCAGGUGGUGCUGUUAUAACGUUAGUUACUUUUAUUAACAUUUUACAAUCGCCUCGAUCCAAAUUAACGUAUUAAUGAUCAUUUGUCAAAGGAACACAUCUAAAAUCACGCAGAUUGCAGUUACGGGUCUAAAGCAUUGGAGUUUUCCUGGGUUUAGAGAUUACGCACACAUAGGACGAUUAAUAUUUUUUAUAAAUAAAUAUAUCUAUACCUAAAAGGGCACAUAAAUUGAAUACGGAAAACACAAGUAUAUACAUUUUUACAUCAAAAGGACAAAAAAAAUAGAAAUACGAAAGAACGCGAAAAUAUAAUGACUGAUAUUUUUUUU